rnacentral:lncRNA from 1 species
UUCUUUUUUUUUUUUUUGUAUUCCAUAUUAGUAUGGUUCAGUAUACAGGACAAUGAAGCUUGGAAGGGAAUAUACGUCUUUUUAUUGUAGGACUGUGAAAGACAGCCUGUUUUCUGGUUGAGCUAGAACCAGAGACCCAGCAGAUUAACUCUGCAAGGAAUGGACUGCAUUUGCCACUCUCCUAGACACCAGGCUCCUGACAACAGGCCUCAACUCUCCAUAAUUCUGUGGCCAUCAAUCAUGUAGGGCAACACCCCAAGCCCCUCCACAAGUAGAAUACUUGACCACAAUCACCAUAGCCUCAAGACACAUCUCCAUUUUAAUGAGGCACUUAAAGAAGUAGGGUCUUGUGGCUUCUCACAGCCCGACACUCACCCAGUAAUAGCAUGGGGAAUGAGCAGUCAAAACUUCCCAUGACCUGCCUCACCCAAUGGCCCAAAGUCUAGGCCUAAUGUGGGCCACCAUUCUAACCCUCACUUUAUUGUAAGCUGAGUUUUAUGGUUUAAAGGUUUUAAGGGGACAACUUGGAAGAAUUAUCAUCAGCAAACCUACAUGGCUAUGUUCCUGAGAGUUUGGGGAAAACCUUAUUUGCAUGUGGGAAGGCUUGGUGCUGUUCCUACUUGACUGAUAGCCAUGUGCCUCUCCUGUGGGCGGUAACUUCGACAGGAACCAGCGGUCUAGGAGUCAUGAUCAAAUGCCUUCCAUCUUGUGUAGGUGGAAAUUAUCACCCACCAGGUCCCACCAGUGUUCAAGACCUAAGCUCGACUGGAGACCAGGCUUUCUGUGUGUUGCCCCACAAUCAAACACAAGCCCACUAGAUGGCAAGUGACAGCACUCACAGCUGAAAUAUAAAACACACACACACACACACACACAUACACACAAACUCUGUCAUAAAAUCCAAUGUGCCUUCAUGAUCAAAGUUCAAUAGUCAAUAGUACUAGAGGGAGCAUAUGUCUAUAAAAUAAAAGCCAGAACCUUUUCUACUUUUUUAUUUUGCUUCAAGAUAGAGCUUCUCAUGAUGUAGCCCCUGCAGCCCUGGAACUUUCUCUGUAGGCUUGGGUAGCAUCAAACUCACCAAACUCUGUCACCCACACAGUCAGACAAAAGCUAGCAUUUUUUUUUCUUAUUUAUUUCUUACUUUUUUUCAAUGUAUAUUUGUGCUGUAUCUGCUGCCUAUACGCCUGCAUGCCAGAAGAGGGCACCAGAACCAAGGAGGACCCACCAUGCAGCUCCUGAGACUUGAGGUUUCUGAUUCAAUCAAUCAAUCAAUCAAUCAAUCAAUCAAUCAAUGGAAAUUCUAAUAGCAUAGAGGGUAGAUAUCUGCCUGUUUCUUCUAGUGCUGUUUAAGGCUUAUUAUAACUAAUAAAAAUUGUGUGUGUGUGUUUUUUUAUCCAAAAACAGAAUGAUCAAGGUUGGGUAAAAGCCCAGUUUGAGAUUAAACAUUUGUACAACAUAACCUUGUGUUGUUUUUCCUUCACGUAAUCAGAGGCAGGGGCUUCUCAGACAUAAAUCUGAAAGAAUACAAUAGAUCAUUUGAGGGGGUGGAUGUGGUGGGGUGGGGUGCGGCAGACUCAAGACAGUUUUUCUUUGCAUGUAGAACUCACUGUCCUGGAGCAUGGCUUGUCUGUCUGUCUGUCUCUCUCUCUCUGCCUCCUAGGGACUGUUAGAUAAAAGGCAUGCAGUUUCAUGCCUAACUUCCUUUUUUCUCUUGAACCCCUGGAAGGUUUUUGCACCACCAUGUCUGUGUGUUUCUACUUCCUUGUUUUGUCACUCAGUUGCGCUUUAGCCUCACCAAGAUCAAAGGUGACAUGUGGGUGGCAGCCAUCUUGGCUUCUAACUGACCUCACGAAGACAGAGGUGGCUGGCUGUCAUGUGACCUACCGUUGCAGGUUACUUUUGUUUCUCAGCUUACUAGACUCUAGGGGACCAGAACUUGAUUAGACCCAGUUUGCAUGUGCAGAAUAGUGAGGAGGCACCCCAAGGCAGCCAGAAGCCUUGCACCUUCUUCUCUUCUGCUUCUGUCUAUUUAAGUGCCAGAUGAAUCUAACAUUUUUAAAGUUAUUUUUUAAUUAAAUCACAUAAUAAAAGAUAAAUAUGAUCAGUCAUCCUGGAACUCCUUCUGUAUACCAGGCAGAGUUAGUAACUUAGUUAGAUAGUUAGUUGGUUAAUCCGUUAAAAUAGGUAAAAAAUUAUGUCAACACUAAGAAACCCUGUCUGAAGAAAGAGAGAGACAGAGAGAGAGAGAGAGAGAGAGAGAGAGAGAGAGAGAGAGAAACAGGCAGACUUGGGUAGCUUUUGUUUAUUCCAGAUGUCAUAUUUCUCUGAAUAGCCUGAAAGACAAACUUGUUUGUUUAGUCCAUCUGUUGGUUGAUUUUGUUUUGUUUUGUUUUUUCAGGAACUGAGGUGGCCUAGUGCCUACUCAAGAAUAGGAAC